CCACAAGACUGUAAAGAAGGUAUACGUAACUGUUCAGAUGCAGACUUCCUUGUCCCUGACACUUGCAACUAAGCCUUCUUGUUUUUAGUAGGACCUUACCUAAGCUCUUUGAGUGGCAUAAAGAUACAUCACACUUUGUAUUGAUGUCAAUUUUGCAAUAUGAAGAGAAAGUUCUUGAGCAUUUCCAAGUUUUCUCACAUUUUGUCAGCUCAGUGCUUCUGCACAAAUACUUCCUGUCAAUGAGUGUCGGAUAUUACAGAAACGUAGAGUUCACACAGAGAGAUUAUGUUGAGGAGAAGUGAAGAUGGAAUAAAGUUUGCUGUUGCUAUUAUUACCACAACCAACGUCAAGUUUAUAGCAGGUCUUGGACUUCCGUACAUGAAACUGAACAGACACAUACAGUACAGCCUGCUACAGGGGAUUCACACGGCAUUGGAUAUAAAUGUCGUCCAUGCUUUUAAGUGAGCACAUACUUCCGAAGCUAUUCAUUGCUAGAGCAGUAUAACCCAUAUGUACAAUGUACAAGAAAACAAGCCACCGACGAAUGAAAAUUCAGCGGUCAAAGCUACUCACUGUUUAGCAUGAUGCUCAUGUUAAUUUUUUUCUGUUCAUGUCCUGAUCUGCAUAAAUCAUGAUAGAAGUUGUGGAGAAACUAUCUUAUACUUGAAAAAAAAUGUACAAAAUGUAUGAAAUGGGUAGAAAUUAAAGUACAUGUAUGAUGUACAUGUUUAAUAGGACAAGAUUGAAUUUGAAGGCUUCAAAGUGCAAAUAUUCAUGUGUGGAUAUGGUUGAAAUAUUGUACUUUACAGUUACAUAAGAUACUGAAUAAAAUGUCAACAGAUAUUCAAAAAAUGGAGUUGGAAAGGCUACAUCGCAGUAAGAUAAAAGUAUUAAUACUCAUUCUCUGUAACCACUUAAACUUUUUCGGCACACAUAGUCACCGAUCUUUCUGAAAAUUGGCUGAUAUGUAGAUCCUAUUAGACUAGUCAGAAAAAUAAUGUCAACCGAUAUAUAUAUUGGUUGGUUACCAUGGUAACAGCAGAGAAAGUUGGGAUUUUUGAGAAAAAUACAAUAUUUGGUGUAGUGUUGUGAAAUCAUGCGGCUACAUCUAUUAAAAAGAAACACAAAAACAAUUAAUUUCAUUCUUGAUUUAGUCAAAAUUCAAAAAAAGUUAUGGGGAAUCUACCUAGAAACAUGCGAAAUUAAUUUCUAAAAAAUGAUCAUUGUGCAAUUUUCCUCACAAUACGAAUUAUCUCCCUUUGAUGUGUUACACUUAUGACUGGACCAAAACGAAAACGCUAAUAACUUUUUUUAUUUCUCAAAGGAUUUAUGUCAAAUUUGAAUUGUUAUAAAUUUAGACCAUUCAAUACAUAAAUAUAAGAAAAAAAAUAUAGAAAACUUUUUUAAAUCUUUAUUAAACGUGACCUGGCCAAUGUUGACAAUGCCAGGACCAAAUGAAAAUGCUAAUAACUUUUUUAUUUCUUAAAGGGUUUAUGUUAAAUUUGAAAUAUAAUAAAGUUUAAUCAUUUAAUAUAUAAUUUAAUAAAAAAAUAUAGAAAAAAAUAUAAAAUAUUCAGAUAACGUGACCUUUCUAACGUUGACAAUAACCUGACCAACAAUAGCAAUGACCUGACCGAUGAAAAUUUCUGUGUUAUUUUAUAUUAUUAAAAAAAAACAGGAAAAAUAUAUGUUUUUGGUAAAAAAAACUUGACCUGACCAACGUUGACUGUGUCCUGGUCGUUGUACUACUUAAUACUUAUUUAUAUCUUAUUGGAUUUUCUUUAAAUUUAUAAAAAAAAAAUAGAAUUAGGAUUGAAUGGUAAAAAACUGGGAAAAACAGUUUAGGGUACUAUGACGAGCACCGAAUUAUUUAAACGUUUUAUGGUAUUGAGUAGUAUAUUGUAUUUAACUGUGUUGUAAAUUAUGUUGUAUUUUACCGGUUAUAAUUUGACACGUUAGAUCACAAAUAUAAAGUAACUCAAAAGGUGUGUUUGAAGUAGGCCAUACAUACAUGUAAGUUAAUAAAUCCAAUAUAGUUUGUUUUUUAAUAUUUUCUAACAGUAAAUAGUUAUUUUCACGUACUACUUAAGGCAUGCGCGAGCCUUGUGCAGGAUAUCUUGGCAGUUUUUAAUAUUUUCAUAAAAACAAAUACACAUUUCGCAGACUACUUGAGGUAUGCCCGAGCCCCUGCAUGCACGAUAUCUUUGUAGUUUAAAAUAUUUUCAUAAAAUAUAAGUAAACAUAUUCGCGGACUUAACUUGAGGGUUACCAGAGCCUUGUCUUGUUUUAAAUGUUCCCGAAAGUUUUAAAGCAUUUUAUAUUUUCUUAUUUGAUAAAAAUUAAUGGUUCAGUCUAAGUGUUUCUAUAAAUUUGAUGCAAAGCCUAUUACAUUUAGAUAGGUAUAAAGUCAUUUUUCCUGGUCAUGAUAACGGUCAGAAUGUAGGACAGAAAGUCACAGACAAAAAGUCACAGACAAAAAGUCCAGACAAAAAGUCGCGGACAAAAAGUCACAUGUAUAAUAUGUUAUAAACAUUGACUUCUGCUUCAAAGUAAAAUCUAUUUUUUUUUUGUUUAAAGAAAGACAAUUAUAUACUAAUUUUGAGAAACAUCUUUCUGUAAUGGGCUUUCAGUGG